rnacentral:rRNA from 1 species
CCUACGGGAGGCAGCAGUAGGGAAUAUUGCACAAUGGGGGAAACCCUGAAGCAGCAACGCCGCGUGAGCGAUGUAGGCCUUCGAGUCGUAAAGCUCUGUCCUAAGGGAAGAAUACUGACGGUACCUAAGGAGGAAGCCACGGCCAACUACGUGCCAGCAGGCGAGGUAAGACGUAGGGAGCUAGCGGUAUCCGGAAUUACUGGGCGUUAAGGGUGCGGAGGCGGCCCUGCAAGUCAGAGGUGAAGCGCUAGGGCUCAACCGUAGUAACACUUUUAAACUGUAGGGCUUGAAUGCAGGAGAGGGGAGUUUAAUCCCCAGUGUAGCAGUGAAGUGCGUAGAUAUUGGGAGGGACGCCAGAUGAGAAGACGGCUCUCUGGAGUGUAACUGACGCUGUGGCACGAAUGCGUGGGGAGCGAACAGGUUUAUAUACCUCUGUAGUC